UGCUGUGAUGGUGUAAUUUGCGUCUGACUCUGUGAUCAGUGACGGUUGCCUGCUGUCUAAUGCUGACACAGAGGGUUGAAGACAUCCAAGACUGAGCA